GUGACAUACCACUUGUUGCCUCGGCGGAUCAGCCCGCUCCCGGUAAAACGGGACGGCCCGCCAGAGGACCCCUAAACUCUGUUUCUAUAUGUAACUUCUGAGUAAAACCAUAAAUAAAUCAAAACUUUCAACAACGGAUCUCUUGGUUCUGGCAUCGAUGAAGAACGCAGCAAAAUGCGAUAAGUAAUGUGAAUUGCAGAAUUCAGUGAAUCAUCGAAUCUUUGAACGCACAUUGCGCCCGCCAGUAUUCUGGCGGGCAUGCCUGUUCGAGCGUCAUUUCAACCCUCAAGCACAGCUUGGUGUUGGGACUCGCGUUAAUUCGCGUUCCCCAAAUUGAUUGGCGGUCACGUCGAGCUUCCAUAGCGUAGUAGUAAAACCCUCGUUACUGGUAAUCGUCGCGGCCACGCCGUUAAACCCCAACUUCUGAAUGUUGACCUCGGAUCAGGUAGGAAUACCCGCUGAACUUA
rnacentral:rRNA from 2 species